UACGUAGGGUGCGAGCGUUAAUCGGAAUUACUGGGCGUAAAGCGUGCGCAGGCGGUUUUGUAAGCCAGAUGUGAAAGCCCCGGGCUUAACCUGGGAAUGGCAUUUGGGACUGCAAGGCUUGAGUGCGGCAGAGGAGACUGGAAUUCCUGGUGUAGCGGUGAAAUGCGUAGAUAUCAGGAGGAAUACCGAUGGCGAAGGCAGGUCUCUGGGCUGACACUGACGCUCAUGCACGAAAGCGUGGGGAGCAAACAGG
rnacentral:rRNA from 1 species